CCUAAGGAUAAAAGUCGAGCGGACUGAAUUGGAGCUUGCUCCAAUGAUGUUUUCCGCGGACGGGUGAGUAACACGUGGGUAACCUGCCCUACAGACUGGGAUAACUUCGGGAAACCGAGGCUAAUACCGGAUAAUACUUUUUAACACAUGUUAGAAAGUUGAAAGAUGGUUCUGCUAUCACUGUAGGAUGGACCCGCGGCGCAUUAGCUAGUUGGUGAGGUAACGGCUCACCAAGGCAACGAUGCGUAGCCGACCUGAGAGGGUGAUCGGCCACACUGGGACUGAGACACGGCCCAGACUC
rnacentral:sRNA from 1 species